rnacentral:lncRNA from 1 species
GUUCUGGACAGAGCUGUGUUGAUGCAUCUUCUUUGUAUGCUUCGGUGAGCUGGAAACAGAAACAUGAAGAAAGCAUUCUGAAGCAUUGGUGGAGUAGCCUGGCUUGUUGAAUGAAGUACAUAAAAUCCAUGCUUCUAUCUCGAUACUGAAAGGUGUCCCUCACUUCAGUUCUCAUUCUGUAACACUGAAGGACAGUGGGAGGCAACCUGUUACAUCUUUUUCAGACCAUCCAUGCAGCAUUGUCUUGAGAACAACUUGAACAUUUCGUUCCUGUUAUCUGUGUCGAAAUCUCCAGAUCACCCCAAACCUCAUAUACUUGCAUAAAAUAAGUGGUGACAGAAGGAAGAGACUGAGAAUUCAGGUGGAGAGAAGAGAGGCAGUUCUUUAGAGUGAGAGAUACGGUUCUAUGGCCAGUGUGAAAAAAAAAAAAAAAACAAAACAAAAAACAGAGAGAAAAUAAAAUUUUCCUCCUAUCUCUGUUCCACUCUCAUUUUAAUACAUCUUCAGACUAAAGCAGUGACAUCUCAUUUUCGACUGAAGACGUUUGGAAAUGGAUCUCCUAAAAAGAUGUCAGCAAACAGAUAAACACAGAAUGCAUAUCUAAGCUACUGGAUGUUUACAAAAGGUACUGCAGAAGGGAAAAUGUACCAGAUGAAAUGGAAAUUAUUUCAUGAAUCACCUCACGAUUUCACAGAAAUAAGGGAAGUAUUAUUACUGAUUAUUCUCCAUAAAACAAGUUUAAAAACAUACCAUCGUCUAAAAAGGAAAAGUGAAAGGUUUCUAAAUUGGAUAUUUCAAUAUUGCUAAUGAGAACGAAGUGAGCUGAUGAAUGUUGAAUCAUUCCUUGACAGUUUUUAAACAAAUAUUAUCAUUCAUUCUCUUUCCUGCAUCGACAGAUGAUGUUUCUUGUUCAAAUGAGGCUUCCUGACUUUUGAUAAAGGCUGCUGAAAAUAGCACUCCCCUUCCCAAGCUGUAUAUUCACCUCUAGCAUAUACUGACAUACUGACAGGGAAUGAAAAUUUGGGAUGCUCUGCAGUGUUCUGCCCUUUCAUGAAGGGUUUGUCUUGUGUGUGAAGUAUGAUGUACACCAUGGUAUCACUAUAUCACAUUACCCGGUGAUGAAUUUAGAAGCUGCCACUGCUGUCUAAUUCAGCAAUCCAUUUUGAAAUUGAGUAGCCUCUUCUCUCCCUUAAAAGUAGGGCAUCAUUAAAUUAAAGUAACCUAUUGUGUGCAGCAGACUAGGCAAGAAGUGGGUGAUGUUCUCCUGCCUUCAGCUGUCUGUCCCUGCCUGCUGGCUGCUUUCAAAUGGAGGAGACAAGUCUGAUGGGCUGCUUAAACUCGUUCCUUCACUUCCCUCCAUUCUUAGCCUCCACAGAGGGCAGACUUGGGACUGUAAAGAACAGCUGCUUACCUCACUGAUGCUUUAUAUACUGAUUUAAGUGUGUAUAUGCUCACUUUUAUAUCUUGUUUAUUCAUUACUGUGGAAGGCUAUAGGAAGUUGGAGGUGAGGAGAUGCUUUCCUGCAGGGGGAAAGUUGCAAGGUACAAGACUGAAAAUGGAUUUUGGAUUUGUGGAGCAGGCUGUGUGUAAGCAAAUGCACUUGGAUUCCGUGCUGGCUUUCUCCCGUUACACAGUUUUUGCAUUGUUCUUGAUCAAAAUGGAUGGAAAAUACUGAGGGUGUUCACUUGGUUUUGCUAUAAUUGCUAUAAACAUUCUAAAUAGUGCUUUGGUUAAUAGUCAGAAGGACAAAUGGGAAGGAAGCCAUCAGGUGGGUAGUCAGGUAGAGACACUUUGUUUGCGUUUACUGUAAGAGCACAUUGGAAAUAUUGUUAAUUUAACAUCAACCAUCUAAAGAUAGCACCAAUUCUAAUUUCAUCAGCAGGUGAGUGUGAAAAAUCGGCCAAUGUUUUCAAUGUAGAAGUGGAAAAAUAAAAAAAUAGAAAGCCAGUUAUGUAUUAAUUGUGAUAGAGCACUAUCUGAAUUUGAAGAGCUAGAAAUUCUGCCCAUUUCAUCGAGACUUGACCUAACAUUUCCCACUGCGAGUAGAAAAUAUUGAUAUAAUGCAUAGGAAUCAUUCUGUUUGUGGUGGGUUUUUGUGGUUGUUUGUCCUUUUCUUUCUUUCUUUUUUUUUACUAGCCGUUGCCCAUAUGGCCAGUUAAUUAUCCUUCUGCAGGCAGAAUUAUUUUAUUUAAUGAAUUUUUAAAUGUCAGUGACGUGAAAAACCAUUACUGUGGUUGUAAGUCCAUUACUCACCUUCAGCUUCUAUUUCCCAUCACCCCCCACUUUAGCUUUAAGGAGCAUCUGAAGUGACAGAGCUUUGAUUUCAGUUGAGAGUGCUGAGCACAGAAGUCUUACAAGUAAUACAUUAUUAAAAAAUCGUAGCAAGAAAAUUAAUUUCUACUAUCGUAUGCCAUGCUGGGUAUAUCACUUCUAACAAAUGACCUUUUUUUUUCAUAUAUUCAUUGGUAGAUUUACCAGGACAAAAUAAUUACUUUGUUUUCCACCUCUAAGAAAAAAAAAAAAGUCUUUUUCUUGUGCGUGUGUGGUUUUCUUGUUUUGUUUUUAAUUGAAAUAAGUACACAAAAUGGGUUCUAUAAGAUAAAAAGAAAAAGGAAAGAAAAAAGAAGGAACUGGAAAACCACACAGAAAUGAGGCACUGGCUCCCUGUCAUGUUGUCUGGUCAGUAAUAUUUCUUACUGUGAAAUUCCUGCAUGUUCGCAUGUUCAUGUUUAAAUCCUCCCAGAGAGAUUUUGCAUUGGAUCCUAGUUGAACUCAAGAAGGUAGAUGGUUAUGCGGUUUCUCAUAUUUCUUGCUUUUGAGAGGAACGUCUGUUUAUCCAGAGAGCCUUAUCUGGGCUUGGCGACGAGCACAUUCCGCAGCCAGAAGAAGGACCAGACAGGUAUUUGUCUCCUUUAUAGAAACAACUUCCUUGAGAGCUCCUGUAUAAACAUAGUUUCUAGCUGAGUGGAAUAGCAAAGAGGACAAGAGAUCAGCAGGCUGCUGAUUAAUGAGCUGUUGAGCGGUGUUGGAUGUUGUGAGUCUGCUGCACAUCUCUUCUUGAAAUGUAACAUAACGAGGUCGGCAGUGAUCAGCACACCCCUCACACUUCAUUAUUUGAUCUCUAAACUGUCAGCAGUACAGGCGGUAAACUACAAAUUGCAAGCAUUGCUUUGUGAUGUGCUUGGACACAUUUUUCAGCACUGCAGGAAAAAAAAAAAUAAUAAAAAUAGCACAGCCACUGAGUUACAAACAAAUAUAUUUUCUUUUUCUUAAUGGAGCUUGGAGCAAGGUCAGUAUACGUAGGUACACACUGAGAUCAUACAGAAAAGCUGAAGUCAAUACGUUCAGUAUAAGCUAAAGCUGGCUAGAACAUAAAUAUGGCAUUUGAUUAUAGAAAAGAAAUGCCAUACAAGUCAAUAUAGCAUUGAUCAAACUUACGGUUUCCAGCUCAGACAAUUCCGAAACAGUGUAUCAGACAGAUAAUUGUAUAAUCAUAAGGCUGAAAGCAGUGAGCCCACUCAUUGUCCGUGCUGGCUGCCUUUUGCCACAUGGGAGAUCCUCACAGCAAUUUUAGAAUACAGGCGUUAGAUCAGCAUCACUCAAGGAGAUGAGAGCAGACAUCUAUUGCUUUCUUAAACAGCUGAUUUAUUCUGCAUCCAUCAUAGGCUCUCUACAGCAGUUUAGCUUGAAAUUUAAAUCAAAAGGGGUCAGCUACUUAUUUUGCAUACAGAUGUAGUACUGACACAGGUUGUCUAGACAGAGGAAGCAAGGAAGAGAUUUGGUAGCAGUUAAAUACUUAAACCUAAGUGUUUGCAUAAGAAGAGUCUCAAGUGGUAUACACUGGUUGCAAAUGACUGAGUGUGAAGGGAUAUAAUAUAGUACAUUUCUUAGGAUGAGAAUAUAGAGAGAAAAUUAUUAACUGUCUUAGCAAGCUAGUAUCUGUGUCAUAUUUCCAGGCUGUGCCUAGAAACCCAUGGAAAUAGAUUGUCUGUAUGUUUUACAGGAAAUUGACCCAAAAAAAGGAAUUAAUAAAGCAACAAGUCAGUAAGUAGAUUCUAGACUGAGCUCAGAAAAUGCCAUUAGAGCAGUCUAAUUAUUUUCAUAUCUUAAAACAUAGAAUUUACAAGAAAUAAUUUUACUUUGGCUAACAGAUACUUUUGAGAAUUAUUGUUCGUGGUAGAGAAUCCACUGCUGUUGCUGGUUAUGUGUUUGAAUGCUUAUGAGUGUUCAGUUGUUCUCACUGUUUAAAAAUAAUGCAUUCUAGUUCUACGCUAAAUAAUUGCAACUUCCAGCACAGCUAUUCAUUUAUUUAUUUGUAGUUUUAGGUAGCUACUUCUUACAGGAUAUCUUUUUUUAAAGAAGGCAUACUUAAUUGCAAUACAUUCAUCUUUUAUUAUGAUCCUUGAGUAUUUUGACCCUGGCUUAAAACAUAUGUAUUUAUAGCUCUUCAUUACUUCCACAGCUAUACUCUGGACCACCUCAUUUCAGAAUUCUGCUUGAAGCACACUAAAGACUUCAGUGAGACUUUCUGACAGCGUGUGGUAAUGAAACUACCCCAUAAGGAGAUGAAAAACAAGAUAUACUCAAUGGGAGGAGCACAUGCUUGUACUUAAAUUCUUCUGUUUCUCCUUCAGUCAGAUGGGCAAAGGAAAAUGCUGUCCUAUCCCAAGAAAUGCAAAGGCAUAAUCAAGUAUGUCUGUGCCUCUCUUGCCAUUUUGAUAUUGGGAACUCAUCCAGCUGUGAACCAAUAGUCUUAUAUGGAAGAUCAGAACUGCUGCUCCUUCGCUUCUUGAUGUAGGAUCUCUCUAUACACAAGCACUGUGCGCGAGUCUUCCCCUUAAAACUUUGAGCACUGCAUAAAUUCUGCUGGUCAAGAGGCUCAGACUGUGAUUUCAAAAGGAACUCCCGUAUUUGUCAACACGUAGCUGAUGAAUGCUCACAGCUAAGAAGUGGUAUUGUGGAUCCCUUUCAUGACUUAUACCUAUAUUUAGUAAGUAUGGAUGACUAACUAAUCCUUUACUGGGAGCAGCUACUGCAAAAUGUAAGUAAGUGCAGAAAUCACCAUCACUGAAUAAAUACUGUGUUGAGUACAGGACGUGUCUUGCAUUAAUAUUUUUGGCCAUUAGAAAUAUUAGAGCAACAGUAGGUUUUAUCACUAGACUGGUUAUGUGUAACCUGUGUCACCUUCCUUUCUUAUCUUUAAAAAUUUCAAGAUGUGAUUUUAUUUCACAGCUGUGAUAACUGCAGAAUAAUCACACCAAUCACCAAGUUACUUGAAAAUAAGUAAGUAACAACAUGAGACAAACCUUAUCUUUACUACAAAGGCAUGCACAAGUUGCUCUAAAUUCUAGCUGGCACUUUACGCACCAAAAGGCUAAGAACUAUUCAAUCACCCUGCUCUUCCAGAACUUCCUUUACUGACUAAUAUAUUCUGGAGAGGUACCUGUGGGAGGAUUGGAGUGAGCCACUGCCUGCAGAGCUAAAUAACAAGCAUGAACACAAGGUACUCACCUAAACAUCCUCCAUGAAAAUGCAGCUGACACACUUGAGGGACGGGAUGCCAUUCGAAAGAAGCAUGGUGAGCAGGGCCAGGGAGAUGGUCCUGUCCUCUACUCUGCGCUGGCAAGGCCUCACCUGGAGUACUGGGUCCAGAUGUGGCGUCCUUUGUACAGGAGAGGCACUGACCUGUUGGAGUGCAUCCAGAGGAGGGUCACAAAAAUGAUCCAAGGGAUGGAACACGUCUCCUAAGAGGACAUGCUGAAAGAGCAGGGGCUGUUCAGCCUGGAGAAGAGAAGGCUCCAGGGAGACCUGAGAGCAGCCAUUCAUAUCUAAAGGGGAGCUACAGGAAAGAAGGGGACAGACUCUUUAGAAGGGUUUAUUGUGAUGGGACAAGAGGAAGUGGUUUCAAGCUAUAAGGGGAAGAUUUAUACUGGAUAUAAGGAAGAAGUUCUUUGCAAUAAGGGUGGUGAGGCACUGGAACAGGUUGCCCAGAGAGGUGGUGGGAGCCCCAUUCUUGGAGACAGUCAAGGUCAGGCUGGAUGGGGCUUUGAGUACCCUGAUCUAGCUGUAGCUGUCUCCGUUCAUUGCAGGGGUGUUGGACUAGAUGGCCUUUAACGGUCUCUUCCAGCUCAAAAAAAUCCAUUAUUCUGUGAUUUUCACCCAGCCUAGUAUCUUUCCUGACAGGCUGUGUAGCCCGGCAGAUAAAGGAAGCAAAAUUAUCCUUCUUGAAUGUUAGCUCUUGCUUAGCAUCUUGGCAAAACCAGUUGGCAAAUAAACCUUUGUUUGACCUUGGUAUGUUUCUCUGGAAGCUCUGUUUUUCUCCUCUGCACUCCCUUCUUUAAAUAGAAAGAGAGGUCUCGGACCAACAGAGCGCAAAGGAGUCACAGCAGGCACAUGGGGAGGGAGUCUCUGCUUCCUCAGCUCUGGAUACAUCCCAGCCUGACAUGAUUUGUCACCUUGUGUAAUAUAAUUCAGCUUAAGAUAUAAAUUCCUGUAAGCCUUAAGCUGUGCAGCCAGAACGGUGAUAAAGUAACAGAGAAAUGAAGAUUUACAAGACACAUCUAAGGUGUAAACAUGAAUAAAAUAAUCCACACGCGUACAUAGUAAAAUGCUGUAUUCCUAUGCUUGCUUUAUAUUCCCCACACAGUUCGAAGUCUGAUUUACUGCUCCUUACUGAAAACACACUCUUGCUUGAAUAGAAACUUGCUGAAAUUUCACAAUUCUUAUCACUACUCAGGAUUGCUACAAAUUUGAUUCAGUUUGGGUUGGUUUGCCUUAGAAAUUUCUUCUGUGGGAACAGAACAUUUGCACAAGUCGUAUACCCC